rnacentral:rRNA from 1 species
CAAUAGCGUAUAUUAAAGUUGUUGCGGUUAAAAAGCUCGUAGUUGGAUUUCUGCCGAGGACGACCGGUCCGCCCUCUGGGUGAGUAUCUGGCUCGGCCUGGGCAUCUUCUUGGAGAACGUAUCUGCACUUGACUGUGUGGUGCGGUAUCCAGGACUUUUACUUUGAGGAAAUUAGAGUGUUUCAAGCAGGCAUACGCCUUGAAUACAUUAGCAUGGAAUAAUAAGAUAGGACCUCGGUUCUAUUUUGUUGGUUUCUAGAGCUGAGGUAAUGAUUAAUAGGGAUAGUUGGGGGCAUUCGUAUUUAACUGUCAGAGGUGAAAUUCUUGGACCUUUGUAUGAUGAACAACUGCGAAAGCAUUUGACUAGGAUGUUCCCGUUGAUCAAGAACGAAAGUUGGGGGAUCGAAGACGAUCAGAUACCAU